rnacentral:lncRNA from 1 species
GCUCUUUGAACACCACCAGGGUCGGUGACUCCACCACCUCUCUGGGCAGCCCAUUCCAGUGCCUGACCACCCUUUCAGAGAAGUAGUAUUUCCUAACAUCCAGCCUGAAUCUUCCCUGGCGCAGCUUGAAGCUUAGGCAGCAUUUUGUUCACGUUUAGAAAUAAAAGCCCAGCCCAAGUUUUUAGGUUAACAGCUUUAAUAGUCAGCCUUAAGAGAACAUUUAAAAGUAGUUCAGGUAUUUCAAAAAGCGUUCAAAAGAGACUCCUUAAGUAGUGUAGCUGAUGAAACCAAAUUCAAGACAGCUGUUACACCGCACUGCUAUUACCCCCUCCUCCAUUCUUUGCUUCAGGUCUGCAUACAACAGCUUGGUCCUGAAACCCUUAAGUGUAGAACUGCGGACACAACUGGGACGAGCAACAAACUAGAAAAGUUAGAUCUACCUGACACCAGCCCCAGACUAGUUAAAAUCAAGUUUGACAAAUAGGGUAUUGUCCAUACUGGUUCCCCUUAUUUCAUCAAGAAAACUCAGAGAAAUUAACUUAAGAAAUCUUUGUGGGGGAGCUAUGGCUUACCUCUUACCCUCUAGUAGAUUUUCUGAUUAACUGAAAUUAAGACUUUAUGUAUGCCUAUAACUUCUCAGUCUUGAAUUUUGGAGUUCAGGAGGUUUGAGAUUUCCAGGACAUUGGGAAGAAAUCAGAUGUUGCAGUAAAAAGUUUGUCUCAAGCUGCCUUUGUUUCCUGUAAGAUGAGGAGGAGCUCUCUAAUACACAUCCCUUCUCUAAGGACAGACUACGGUCAGUAGGUAGUUAUCUACCAUCUACAUUUAAGGUAAUUAACCAUAACUUUAAUUAGAGAUGUGCAAUAUUUGCUCACUAAACAGGCAGAGGAUGGGUAAAAAAGAAAUGUAUCAGUGUUUAUUAUCUAAAGCUGUAACACAUCAUAUAGCAGUUCAAAGUGAAAUUCAGUCCACGCAGAUGAUGCAAUUACUUAAGCUUUUACACAUCUGCUUAACUACACAGUACAGCAGCCAGAGAGAUCUGUUCUGCAAUUGGAACAGUCCUGAGCACUUUGAACUAAUUGUUUUUCUUCCCAGACUAGUUCUGUCCUAUCAGUGCAGGCCUCACAUGGUUUUGUAUUUAGUAUUCUGGAAGAUGUGGUGAUACAAAAUUGGAAAUGCACCAUCUCUACUGAAGGAGCUGGGCAGGAAGAGCCCACACUCCCUUACAGCACGUCUAAGUGUGCAAGGCAGCAAGAGCAAACUGGGUACAUGCAGCCUGAGGGUUCUUUAGCAUCACAUGAGGUAACAGAAGGAUAAAUCAAGGGCGUUUCUUAUCCUACUGGGAUGGAAGAGGGGAAGAGACAGGAAAAAAAAUCACUGGCUACAACCAUCUGUUUAAAGUCACUUGUUAAACAUGCUCCACGUGGGCCAUUUUCCCCACACUUGAGUCACAAGUAACCACACAGACAUCACGUCCAGCCUUCAGCAUCUCUCACUGCAGCUAUUUACAUUCUGUGUAUUUUUUCAUGAUCAACAAAUUUGUUCAAGUGAGGUAAGUUAUCCCACCACUUAAAAAGAAAGGUCUCUGCAAUUAGUUUAAACCAGGGAGUAAUCUUGACUUCGUUCCUCGAGGCUUUGUCUAGAAGUUGCUUCAGUUCUUUCUGGGUCACGUAACAGUAGCUCUGGAUCUCAUUGGGAUCAGGAUUAAGCGUUACAUCCUUCUGCACAAAUAAGAUAUAGUCUAUCUCAUGUUCACCCCAGAUCCCAUCAGACUUGGCCUUGUAGUGAAUUCGUGUCAGAUAGAAGAUCUCUUCGGGAGUAACCUGCUCCAUAGGGAUUCCUAACUCUGCUUUCAUUCGUCUCUGUGCUGCUCUCCGAACUCCAAUGGCAUCAUUUUCUUCCAGUUCCAGGGGGUGGCUCAGCGGAUGGCUACAGCAAGUGUUGGUAAAGCAAUCUGGAAAUGUAAUUUUAGCAUUUGACCUCUGCUGCAGCAACAGUUUGUUUUCUGUAUUAAAUAAGAAAACACUGAAUGCUCGGUGCAAUAAACCUCUGUCGAUGUUCUCAUUCAGGUGGCAGUUUUUCUUCGUGUCCGCCCCGAUGCGACGGUCGUUCUCAUCGAUGAGGAUGCACAUCUCAGCCAGCAGCUGCACCUGCUGCUCGUCCAGGUGGUCCGUGCUCACCUCGGGCAUCGUGACGGCCGCACAGGUUCUCACGGCCGGCUCCGUGUGCAGACGGCCGGUUCGCGGCAGCGGUUGGCAGUGGCCCCACGCGCUGAGGCGGCAGCACCGCCCCUGAAGGACGGCGGUCCCGCGGCGGCCCACGGCAACGGCCCGGCGCAGCACGCGCCACAUCGCC